rnacentral:rRNA from 1 species
CCUACGGGGGACAGCAGUGAGGAAUAUUGGUCAAUGGGCGCGAGCCUGAACCAGCCAAGUAGCGUGAAGGAUGACUGCCCUACGGGUUGUAAACUUCUUUUAUAAAGGAAUAAAGUGAGGCACGUGUGCCUUUUUGUAUGUACUUUAUGUUUAAGGAUCGGCUAACUCCGUGCCAGCAGCCGCGGUAAUACGGAGGAUCCGAGCGUUAUCCGGAUUUAUUGGGUUUAAAGGGAGCGUAGAUGGGUUGUUAAGUCAGUUGUGAAAGUUUGCGGCUCAACCGUAAAAUUGCAAUUGAUACUGGCAGUCUAGAGUACAGUUGAGGUAGGCAGAAUUCGUGGUGUAGCGGUGAAAUGCUUAGAUAUCACGAAGAACUCCGAUUGCGAAGGCAGCUUACUAAGCUGCCACUGACAUUGAUGCUCGAAAGUGUGGGUAGCAAACAGGAUUAGAUACCCGUGUAGUC